CAAUAGCGUAUAUUAAAGUUGUUGCGGUUAAAAGCUCGUAGUUGGAUUUCUGCCGAGGACGACCGGUCCGCCCUCUGGGUGAGCAUCUGGCUCGGCCUGGGCAUCUUCUUGGAGAACGUAUCUGCACUUGACUGUGUGGUGCGGUAUUCAGGACUUUACUUGAGAAAAUUAGAGUGUUUCAGGCAGGCUAGGCCGGAAUACAUUAGCAUGGAAUAAUGGAAUAGGACUACGGUCUCUUUGUUGGUUUGAGGGACUGCAGUAAUGAUUAAUAGGGGAUAGUUGGGGGCAUUAGUACUUAACUGUCAGAGGUGGAAUUCUCAGAUUUGUUAAAGACUGACUUAU
rnacentral:rRNA from 1 species